rnacentral:rRNA from 1 species
GACGAACGCUGGCGGCGUGCUUAACAUAUGCAAGUCGAUCGGAAAGGCCCUGCUUUUGUGGGGUGCUCGAGUGGCGAACGGGUGAGUAACACGUGAGUAACCUGCCCUUGACUUUGGGAUAACUUCAGGAAACUGGGGCUAAUACCGGAUAGGAGCUCCUGCUGCAUGGUGGGGGUUGGAAAGUUUCGGCGGUUGGGGAUGGACUCGCGGCUUAUCAGCUUGUUGGUGGGGUAGUGGCUUACCAAGGCUUUGACGGGUAGCCGGCCUGAGAGGGUGACCGGCCACAUUGGGACUGAGAUACGGCCCAGACUCCUACGGGAGGCAGCAGUGGGGAAUAUUGCACAAUGGGCGGAAGCCUGAUGCAGCAACGCCGCGUGCGGGAUGACGGCCUUCGGGUUGUAAACCGCUUUCGCCUGUGACGAAGCGUGAGUGACGGUAAUGGGUAAAGAAGCACCGGCUAACUACGUG